CUGCUGAAGUUUUUGGUCAACGUCACACCAACACAGUGAUGUUAAACGUGGCUUUAACGUAGCUAAUUUACCGUCGGAUGUGCUCCUGUCGACUAAGCGACAAACCCAGAGUAAAGCAGCGAACGUUAACGUAACCUACGUAACACGUUUCUGUGGUAACGUUAAACUGUUAAAGAGCGUCCAGUCACCACGUAAUCAAGCUAAAUUAAUGUUCUACGUAACAAUAACUUGUGAUGCGUUGUCUGUCUGUCCCCAAACGUUGAAGAAAAAUUGCAAGCUGUUUCUCCUUUGGGGCUUUGUCCAAGCCAGUGGCUAUCAGACAAGCACUGACCUGUCCCAAGCAGCUACGUCUGCCCAAGGUGCUGCAGGCCUGGCUGAAGUCAUCAUCAUCCCAGUGUGGCAAAGACGAGAUUGUACCCCCAAUGCAGUCCAGGUUGUCGAGGCUGCGAUUAUUUGAGAGCUCUCUGAGAGAUGGAAGACAGCUAGAAAGAGGAGUAAGAUGAGAGGAAAAACAAGAUAAAGAAGAUGUGUUAAGGGGAGGUAGAAGGGAACAUGGAUCGGCGAAGAAAAUGAACGAUCAGCAAAACCAGGAAUUGAAAGAGAGAUAAAAGGUGAAGACAUAUAAAGAUGCAGAGGAAGAUGAGAGACAGAAAUCAGCAAGUAGGGAGAAACAUGGCAUCGAGCAGGAAGAGCGAGAGAGAUGACCCACUCAUUUUAGCCCAUCUCUGAAGACUGUGAGCUAGAAAGGAAGUCAGCGAAAGACAGUGGCACCACUUCACUGCUUAUGAUGGCAAUGGAACUUUCCAUGACCUCAAAACAAUUUGUGUGUGUGUGAAGUGAGUACAUUAAAUGGGUAUGGAGUGAUGUUGGUACCAUUUAUGGUUUUUCUGGAUGAGAAAAGCCUAGUACGAAAAAACAGUGAUACAUUUAGGAGUCACCUGGAGAUCUCGAGAGAUCUUUACAUUUAAGAAAUAAAGCUCU